rnacentral:rRNA from 1 species
CCUGGCUCAGAGCGAACGCUGGCGGCAGGCUUAACACAUGCAAGUCGAGCGGGCGUAGCAAUACGUCAGCGGCAGACGGGUGAGUAACGCGUGGGAACGUACCUUUUGGUUCGGAACAACACAGGGAAACUUGUGCUAAUACCGGAUAAGCCCUUACGGGGAAAGAUUUAUCGCCGAAAGAUCGGCCCGCGUCUGAUUAGCUAGUUGGUGAGGUAAUGGCUCACCAAGGCGACGAUCAGUAGCUGGUYUGAGAGGAUGAUCAGCCACAUUGGGACUGAGACACGGCCCAAACUCCUACGGGAGGCAGCAGUGGGGAAUAUUGGACAAUGGGGGCAACCCUGAUCCAGCCAUGCCGCGUGAGUGAUGAAGGCCCUAGGGUUGUAAAGCUCUUUUGUGCGGGAAGAUA